GACGAACGCUGGCGGCGUGCCUAAUACAUGUAAGUAGAACGCUGAAGGAGGAGCUUGCUUCUCUGGAUGAGUUGCGAACGGGUGAGUAACGCGUAGGUAACCUGCCUGGUAGCGGGGGAUAACUAUUGGAAACGAUAGCUAAUACCGCAUAAUAGUAGAUGUUGCAUGACAUUUGCUUAAAAGGUGCAAUUGCAUCACUACCAGAUGGACCUGCGUUGUAUUAGCUAGUUGGUGGGGUAACGGCUCACCAAGGCGACGAUACAUAGCCGACCUGAGAGGGUGAUCGGCCACACUGGGACUGAGACACGGCCCAGACUCCUACGGGAGGCAGCAGUAGGGAAUCUUCGGCAAUGGACGGAAGUCUGACCGAGCAACGCCGCGUGAGUGAAGAAGGUUUUCGGAUCGUAAAGCUCUGUUGUAAGAGAAGAACGAGUGUGAGAGUGGAAAGUUCACACUGUGACGGUAUCUUACCAGAAAGGGACGGCUAACUACGUG
rnacentral:rRNA from 1 species